AUCUUCCUGUCAAAUUACCACCCCCGCACCCACCUGCCCACGUCCUGCAGCUCGGCCAUGUGCUCGGCAGGAGGGCCCGGGGAGCUGCGGCUUGGGGGAGAGGAUGGGGGAUGCUGGUGGGCAAGGGUUGAGUUUUGGUGCUGUUGGCCUGUGGGGCAGAGCUGCGGCCCUCUUGCCAGGAGCAGGGUGGAGGGCAAAUAGCCCUCCUCUCUGCUGUCAGAAUAGCUCCGGGAGGGGGGAGCGGGCUGAGAUGGUGGUCGUGGAGGGGAAUGUGUCAGCUGGGGUGGGGGACGAUGGUUCUCCAGCCACAGGGGUGAUCUCAGUGGGAGCAGUGCUGCUGGAGCUCUUACCUGGCCUCCUGCUCACCAACCCCGGCCCAGGUGGUGAGCUCACAGGCCCGAGCAGUUCUGCCAAGGUGAUGGAUGAGCACCCAUUGCCCCCUAGCCUUCCCCCCCCAGCCCCACUGCUUGCAUUUGCUGCUGCCUCCUCCCCCAAAAUCAGGGCUGCCUGCCCUGGGGAGGUGGAGGCUGGAGGCUGCCAGCGCCGUGUUGUGGGGUCAGGCGUGGCAGAGGAUGUUCUCUACCCUCCCCCCGCCAAGGUGCUGCCUGCUCAUAUAUGGGAAAGAGAGGGGAGCCUGGAAAGUGUGACUCAAGGCUCCAGUCCUGCCUCUUCUUGCACUGUUUGUGCCUGUUCUCAGGGGCAUCCCAGCUGGCGCUUGGAGCCUCCUCUCCCCCGGCUCCACGCUGCACGAGCACACCGAGGCCCAAACAAUGCCUUUAUAAGGACAGAGACUGUCUCCCUGUGCUGCCUUAGCUUUUCCAUCACCCUUGGGACUGGGCCCACGGUUGGGCUGGCGGUAACAGGGGCCUCCUGUGACCAGGCGGGUGCUUUUCCAAGGCCCUGAGCGUGGCCCCCUGGGCUGCAGAAUCACGUGGUGGGGUUGGUGCUAGCCAGGCCCUGGGCUCAGGGCCCACUGCUUCCAUGGCCUUUAGAGUCCCAGCUCUGCAGUGCUAACCAAAGGAGCAAGGCAGAGAAGCAGGUCCCCGACACAGCUGCUGGGCUGGCCUGAAACCCCCCCAGCAUGGCUGCAGCACUUGUGAGGAGCCCGGGAGCUGGGGAGCUCUCCUUGAGCCCACUGCUCCUUUCACCCAUACCUCCCUGCCCAAGGGCUGGCACCAGCAGUGGUUCUGCUCUGGGCUGUGCCUGUGCCAGACCGGACUCCCUCACUCCAGGUACUGUGCUGGGGGUACUGAUGCAUGCAGCAAAUCCAGGUGGGACUCUGCAGCUUGGCACAGGGGGGAGAGGACUGGGGGAAGGGUGGUGCUGCAGAGGGUGUCAGCCAGGGGUGUCCGAUCCUCUCAGUA